CUCACUUGAGAAGCUUCGUCCCAUAGUCCCAUAUCCGCAUACAUGUUAUAUAA
rnacentral:sRNA from 1 species